CCAAAACAUGAAGUUUUGUUUGAAUAAUUUCGAAUGACACGCAUCCGUAUAGGCACUGGUAGUGAUAUCUGGGCGGGUGUUCUAUUACAGAACGAGUCGAGGUCUUAAUUUUGAAAAUCGUAUUUUCGGCUUAAUUCUUCCGCACUUCCCGGUGGUGGAUUCGAAAAUCAGUUUUUAUGGUGGUGAUGGAAACGACAUACAUAAUUCCGCAUUCGUGGGUGCUGCAGUUCCGCCGUUCCGUUGCCGUUGCAAUUUAUGAUCCAGAAACUAAAAAAGACGCUACCAUACAUGGGUUUUUAGAGACGGAUUUGGAUUAUGUCUAUGCGAAGGUUAUUCAAUCUGUAUCCAAUUGUCAUUCAGAACGGGUUUCUGAAGAUGCUUGGAAAAUGCUCAAGUAUCGUGAAAGGCUUCUAGCUACGUUUGUCAACGGAAGGGCAACUGGUCUAGGUAUGGCCAGCAGAGAUACCUGUAUAUACUGUGACCCAUGAAGGGGAAGUCAUCAGCCAAGCUGUUGUGGAAUCUCUCCUGGGUGACGAUCUUCAGUUGCAAAGUCAAAACAUCGACCUCAUGAAGACCUUGCUGAAUAAAUUAAGAUCCUGCAGGAAGCAAUACGUGCUCAGAGCUUCCGUCCAUGUUUUUGUGCUUGGAAAGAUCGACGUGUGACAAAACGCGUGAAUUUUUAUGUAAUUCUUGGUUGGUUGAGCAAUGAUUAUUUGUACUGUUUAAAUUUUUUUCAACUAAAGUAGAGCAUUUUUUAUCGAUUCACGACAUCUGGAAUUACUUCCAAAUAACUAUUUGAACAACAAUAUAAAUAGCGAUUGAAAGAAAAAUUCUUUUAAAACUAGUUAAACAAAUAAUUUUAAAGAAGCAAUGUAAGGUAUGUAUAAAAGUAAGGCUCUGUUUCAUUGAUUCAUUUAUAUUUUUGUCUGAUUUACACAAUGAACCGAACAAUUCUUAAGCACCAGAGAAGAAUGUUUUCGGACAAUUCGGCUAUAAUAAGCUAUUAGAUAGUACAAUAAUAAAUAAGGCUUCAGCUAAGACAGCAGAAUCAAUCUUGUUAACUCCUUCGCAAUAUACUACUGUUACUAUCUGACGUUUAUGUAUGUACUAACUAUAGUAAUAUAUAAGGAAUUGAUUCAGAAGCAUACGCAGUAGCUCUUGAAAGAUAAAAUUGUGUGACAAGAAGUAAUGAACAUAGCUUGAACUGUGUAA